GAAGCCUCAUAUAGUCAUUUUGCACUGGGAUCUUCAAACUACCUUCGUGGUCCUGCCAAGAGGAAAAAUUGUCUCUAGAGAUACUCGGCUGAGUUACAGAGGUUCUCCAAUGAUUUAGUAGUGAUGGUGGUAGAAGUCACAGCAGUUGGAAACUACAAGUUUCAAAAUGUGAGGGGGAGGAAGAAAAGCAAGUACGGGGAGAAGGAAGAAGCCCUUCUGUCCAAGAGGCCUGUAAGCUGAUCCUGGGGAGAAGGGAUAAGGUCCCGGAAUUGCUGGCUGAGUGACUGUGGUUUCCACUGUAAGAUCUGAUCUACAGAGAAGAACAAUUAUGAAGCUCUUUAAGGAUGCUGGGGAUCCCCUCACAAAUUUGUUUCUCAAAGUAUCAAUGAAAGGAGAGGAACUGGAGACACAGUCACACGGGGAAGAAGCCCAUGUGACUAUGGAGCUAGAGACUGGAGUGAUGCAUCUAUCAGCCCAUGGAUGUCAACGAUUGCCAAAAACCACCAGAAGCCAGGAAGGAAGUCAUGUUCCUCAGAAGGAACAUGACACUGCUCACAUCUUAAUUCUGGACUUCUA